CCUACGGGAGGCAGCAGUCGAGAAUCAUUCACAAUGGGGGAAACCCUGAUGGUGCGACGCCGCGUGGGGGAAUGAAGGUCUUCGGAUUGUAAACCCCUGUCAUGUGGGAGCAAAUUAAAAAGAUAGUACCACAAGAGGAAGAGACGGCUAACUCUGUGCCAGCAGCCGCGGUAAUACCGAGGUCUCAAGCGUUGUUCGUAAUCACUGGGCGUAAAGCGUGCGUAGGCUGUUUCGUAAGUCGUGUGAGAAAGGCGAGGGCUCAACCCGCGGACGGCACAUGAUACUGCGAGACUAGAGUAAUGGAGGGGGAACCGGAAUUCUCGGUGUAGCAGUGAAAUGCGUAGAUAUCGAGAGGAACACUCGUGGCGAAGGCGGGUUCCUGGACAUUAACUGACGCUGAGGCACGAAGGCCAGGGGAGCGAAAGGGAUUAGAUACCCGGGUAGUC
rnacentral:rRNA from 1 species